UUUGUUUGUAAGUUCGGGUUAACCAGCCUUGAUACAACACCAGAACCCUGCACACAACCCUGAGGCAUCAGUUUUAAUGAGGGAUUACCUGAUAACUCUAUAAAGCUGUCCUGUUCACUUGAAGCCACAUUAGCCCAUGGUGCUACUAAAAUCUGCCUUAAAUAGACAUUUAGUUCAUUUCUUCCUAAUUCUAAUCCCAGCAAUCUCUUCCUCACAUAGUUCCCAGCACAUUUACUGCCAAUGAACUCCAGCAAGUUGCCACAUGGCAAGCCAGAAUCUGUUUGCCAUAUGAACGUGACCCUGGUCACCAGCUAAUGGGUGCCUGGCCUCCGUCCUGCCCACUGGCAUGAGCUUUGUUCCACCUUCACUUUACCUAAACAAAUGCAAGCAAACUGAACUUCCUUUGUACCGUGGACCUCAGCAGUGUUCGGCCUUCCCUCGGUGCAAACGCGAGCAAUCGAACAAACACCGUUACGAAGACAUGUAAAGGGUCUCUUCAGUGGUGCCGUAAAUCCAAGUUACGAGGAUAGAGACGCUCCCUCCUUCUGGCCUCACGCACCUGCAGGCACCUUCCUGACAGUGGCAGGAGGGAGAUACAGCAUGUGGGACAUGUGGCCUUAUGUGAACUCGGCAUGAAUCAGCCUCACAAAGCUCACCUCCAACCACCAGCCCACUUGCAAAGGAGGGCUGGACUGCAGCAGAACCCAGCGUGGUCAAGGGGGCACCUCCACCUUCCUGUGAAGAGCUCAGCAGAUCCCCAGCAACUGGCAGAUGUUAUUAUUCACAACUUACUUGCUGUGUAGCCUUCAGCAAGUUGGCUGACCUCCUUGGGCCUCAGUUUCCUCCUCUGUAAAAUGGGGGAAAAAACAGUACCUUUUCCUAAGAAGUUAUGAAAUAAGUGAUUAAGUACUUCAAGCUGUGUCUGACACACAAGUGCCUAAUAGGUAUUAGCUGUUAUUAUUUAUUGCCCCCUUUUUACACAGGAAGAAAGUGGACUUUAAAAGGGAACUUGGGUAGACAUAAUUUGGAGUUUUUGUCCCAAGUCUCUGCAGGAUCAAAUCUCUAAAGGAAAUGCUGUGGGUGAGCCUAAGCCUGGAGCCUCCCAAAGAGAAAAGCCUGUGUCUCUUCUGUCUCCAGCAAGGACAGUAGAACAGGGGUUCCUGAAGGUCUGCUUGGAGCCCAGCACUGCGUCUUCUAUCACAGGGAUCCUUGUUGCUAUCAAGGGCCAGCAUGGCCCUGCUCAGAUUCCACUUGUAAAGUGUAAACUACAGAAUCUCAGGUUUACAAGAAACUCUAAUGACCAUCCAGGUCCACAGCUGCUCACAGAGGCCCUUAAAACCUCCACCAGGACAUUGCUUGAAUACCUCCAGGGAUGGGGAACUCAGUACCUACAGAGGCCUCACAUUCCACUCCAGAUGCACCUGAAGAGAGGGGAAGGGGAAAUAAGUGAAGGGGUCAGGGAGGCUGGUACAAAGGCCGAUUUUGCCAGUUUCUCAGUUGAGCCUAAGACAGGGCCAGACUCCAGCCACCCAGCUGCCACUACUGCUCCUGCCCAAGAACUCCGGUUCUCUAGAAAACUGAGAGCCCCUCUGGGAGGCCAGGCUUGGCAGGAAGAUGUGGAAGCAGGCUGAGCCACAAACGAACUGGUUCCAUACCAUUAGGCAACAGGAAAGAAAAAGGGUGGCCCGCCCCGGGCCGGGCGCAGCAGCAGCGGCAGUCAUGGAGAUCAAAACACCCAGAUAAUGAGCCGAAUUCUUCUCCCAGAGACACCAGCUAACGAAGGGAGCACAGGAAGCCCCAUGUCACGGGCCCAAAGUGUUUAUACAAGUGUUAAAAAUACAUUUCAAAAGAAAGCAGGGAAGCCCAAGGAAAACCCUCUGCCGCCCUUGGAAAACGGUUUUUGCAAACCACGUUAAUUUGUUUUCCAAAAGGUGUUUGAAGUCUCCCUGUGUACCCCCUGGGCAACUUUAAUUCCACCUCCUAAUCCCCUAUUAAACCUGAUGCUCACUAACACAGCCCACUUAGGGGAUUAUGCUUUUUAUUCUUCAUUAUACAGAUACAUAUUUG
rnacentral:lncRNA from 1 species